rnacentral:lncRNA from 1 species
AUCUCGGCUCACUGCAAGCUCCCCCUCCCGGUUUCACACCAUUCUCCGGCCUCAGCCCCUCUCCGAGUAGCUGGGACUACAGGCGCCCGCCACCACGCCUGGCUAAUUUUUUGUAUUUUUAGUAGAGACGGGGUUUCACCGUGUUAGCCAGGAUGGUCUCGAUCUCCUGGCCUCGUGAUCCAGCCGCCUCGGCCUCCCAAAGUGCUGGGAUUACAAGCGUGAGCCACUGCACCCGGCCUUCACAUCCUAAAUUAUAUCCAAGCUCUCAUGUCUAUUAUCUCUUAUUUCCCUCUUCCUCUUUUUCCUUCUUUUCUUCCCAUUCACCUUUGUUUCUUAUUCUCUUUCCGUCAUACACGCACAGCCACAUACACACACACACACACACCUACUUUAUAUUCUGAAACAAUAACAUAAACAAAUAAUCACACCCAGUCUUAUAUCCAGUUACCAAGUCUCAUAAUUUUUCUUAAAUAACAGCAAUUAUG